rnacentral:rRNA from 1 species
UACGGAGGGUGCAAGCGUUAUCCGGAUUCACUGGGUUUAAAGGGUGCGUAGGCGGGCAGGUAAGUCCGUGGUGAAAUCUCUGAGCUUAACUCAGAAACUGCCAUGGAUACUAUUUGUCUUGAAUGCUUGUGGAGGUAAGCGGAAUAUGUCAUGUAGCGGUGAAAUGCUUAGAUAUGACUAGAACACCAAUUGCGAAGGCAGCUUACUACACAAAUAUUGACGCUGAGGCACGAAAGCGUGGGGAUCAAACAGG